UUAAGCGAUCUGAUGGCUUACCGGAUGUGUUACCAGAACCAGUAGCAUACUUGUGCCAAAAUGAAGUUGUUUUGCUAACGAACUAAAAUACAUGCUGGUAUUUAUGGUUACAGAUCAACGCAGAGACCGAGGUUUGAUCUGAGCACGUUGAGAAGCAAUGCUUUGUUAAGGUCACCCGUGGUAUGACAACGCUAAUAAAGGAUGCUGUGCCUGCCAACUUUGUUCGCCUGGACUUCAGAGAAGCCAAAGAGGAGAAUCAUCAUUCGCAUACCGUGUAUGGAUUCCAUGGAGUAUUCCAUCGAGUAUUUCUUCUGUUUCAAUCGUCUUGGUGAAGUUUUUGAGCUGGAUCUGGAUUCUGCUGAGGAUUCGUCGACUACUAGAUGGCGAGCCACCCACUCAUUCGAAUGUGAUCCUGUUCUACAUUGCGCAUGGCAUAUUUGGUAGGAUUGUGGCCUGCUCGUGUCACAUCACUGACUAUGACUGACUUCAACGCCUUGAACUGAACUGCUUGAAAUGAGCUAUAUUUCUUUUUGAACAACUUAAAGGAACUCUCUACAUCGUUUCUUUUGAGGAUUUAAAGGACUAUUUCCAAUUUUUGAAGGACAAUUCAAAUUUUUUUUUUUUUUAAUGUUCAAACCUUUUUGGGGGACGGGGGGGUAAUUGUAAAUAUUUAAACUUUUCAAUCUCUUACUUGUGAUGUUUUUAUUUCAUUUUGUUAAUGCCCAUUUUAUUAUUUUUCCCUAUAUCCUAUGUUUGUAUUUAAGAAUGUCAUUCUUCAUUAGGGUUGCAUACAAUAUUUUCUAUGGAUACAUGAUUAUUUAUAAUGAUAAAUAAAUAAUUAUUAUUAUUAUUAUUUAUGCAAGAUGGACAUUUGACACGAACAUUAUGGUUUUCCCCGUUCAUUUUGCUUUCGAUAUCCUUUCCUUUUUGUUUUGGACUGUUUCAAUUCACGGGACGUCACUUUAAUCCUCCAAAGGACAUUUUUGGAGUGAAGCGGCCAACUCUCUUGAAUUACUGCUCUUGUCGGCUUGCGCUCGCCUCUGUGGAUCUAAUAAGGACAUAAAAGGACAGAAACUUAA